CUGAACUGUGAACUCUCUCGCUUCGGUGGUCUUCGAUAAUCGUUCCUUUGGUCACACUUCAGUUCCUAUCAACGGAGGCCACAUUCUGGUGAGGCAACGUUUGAAUAGUUAAAGUCUCAACAACCAGCUCUGAUUACCUUACACGCCGCUAACUCGUUUUUCAGUUGUUCCAGUCAUUCUCUGACUAUUUCUGGGCUGUCUCCUCUCUUUACAUCAAGCGGCAGAAAAAUAAAAAGAGAUCAUAAGAGUCAAGAGUCGGUGAAGAUCCAUUAUUCAUGUAUUUUGUGAAGGCUAUAUUAGUUUAUUCUGUGAUGUAUCCACAGUAGAGAGACCAAAAAGGAUACAUAAGGAAGUUAUGGAAUAAGAUCUAAUGAUGAAUAAUGUUUCUGUAAAAGUUAUUUUUUUAUUGCACACAGGUAUUCUCAGGUACUUUCCUAUUAGAGACAAUUAUGUUCGAGGUACUAUUGAGCAUUAAAUGUGGGUAUUUUUCUGUGUGGGGAUUUGACAAUUAGUUUGUCACUUUGUGAAGAACUAGUUCCUUUUGUUAGACUCAACCCUUAUUGAUUGUUGAUUGAACUCAAUAACAGUUACACGAUCUA